rnacentral:rRNA from 1 species
UUGCAAGUCGAGCGAACGGACGAGAAGCUUGCUCCUCUGAUGUUAGCGGCGGACGGGUGAGUAACACGUGGAUAACCUACCUAUAAGACUGGGAUAACUUCGGGAAACCGGAGCUAAUACCGGAUAAUAUUUUGAACCGCAUGGUUCAACAGUGAAAGACGGUCUUGCUGUCACUUAUAGAUGGAUCCGCGCUGCAUUAGCUAGUUGGUAAGGUAACGGCUUACCAAGGCAACGAUGCAUAGCCGACCUGAGAGGGUGAUCGGCCACACUGGAACUGAGACACGGUCCAGACUCCUACGGGAGGCAGCAGUAGGGAAUCUUCCGCAAUGGGCGAAAGCCUGACGGAGCAACGCCGCGUGAGUGAUGAAGGUCUUCGGAUCGUAAAACUCUGUUAUUAGGGAAGAACAUAUGUGUAAGUAACUGUGCACAUCUUGACGGUACCUAAUCAGG